UUUUUUUUUUUUUUUGAGACAGAGUCUUGCUCUGUCCCCCAAGCUGGAGUGCAGUGGUGCUCACUGCACUCUUGGCUCACUGCAACCUCUGCCUCCCAGGUUCAGGUGAUCCUCCUUCCUCACCCUCUCGGGUAGCUGAGAUCACAGGCAUGUGACACCACACCUGGAUAAUUUUUUGUAUUUUUAGUAGAGACACGGUUUCACCAUGUUGGCCAGGCUGGCCUCGAACUCCGGACCUCAAGUGAGCUGCCUGCCUCAGCCUCCCAAAGUGCUGGGAUUACAGGCAUGAACCACUGCACCCAGUCUGUACACAUUUAUUGAGCAGCUACUAUUUGUCAGUGUUGGGAAUAUCAGGAUUAAAGAAACAAUCUCUUAGUAAGUCACAGUUUUACUAAGAGAGAAAUAUAGGGCAACAUCUACAGUCCACAUGAAAAGUGCUGUGACGGAGGAGAGAGGCCACCAACAUUCAGUGUGGUAGCCAAUCCCAAGACUGCACCCAACGGUCCUUGCCACCUUGUGUGUCUCCUUAUGCAGUCAGUCACCUCCCACCUUGUAAACUGUGUAGCAAAUAGGGUAUUGCAGAAAUGAAGGCGUGUGACUUACAAGGUGGGUCAUAUAGGACUUUGCAACUUCUGACUCUUUUUCUUGGAUCUCUUCCUCUAGGAGAAGUCAGGCACCAUGUUAUGAGGACACUCAAGCAACCCUGUAGAAAGUUCCAUGUGGUGAGGAACUGAUACCUCCAAUCCAUGGCCAGUACCAAUUUACUUAGCAUGUGAGUGCAUCCUGGAAGUAGAUCCUCUUGUCUCAGCCAUGCCUGAAGCUGACUGCCAUCUCAUGGGAGGCCUCAAGCCAGGACUGUCCAGGCGAGCUGCUCCCAUAUUCUUGAUCCACAGAAACUGUGAAAUAAUUAAUGUUUAUGGUUGUUUCAAGUCACUUACAUUUUAAGUUCAUUUGUUAUGCAGCAGUAGAUAAUGGAAACUCUGUAAACAGGAGCCCAGUCUGGGGAGGAUGGAGAUAGUAAUCAGGAGAGGCUUCCUGGAGGAGGUGUUAGCUGAGCUAUGUCUUGUAGAAUGAGGAGGAGUUCUGAGUAGGAGUUAGUGAGGCAGAGAGUGUUGGGGUGCUAAGGCUUUCCGGGCAGGAGGAACAAUAUGUAUAAAGGACCACUUCAGGCCCCAUCUUCUCUGCAAAGUCUUCCCUAACCAUUCACUGCCUGAGUCAUUCAUUUACUUACUCAUUCAUUCGACAAAGCUUUGAUGAGAGCCUCCUAUGUCCUGGGCUCCAUGCAGAGUACUGGGGUUGCUGUAAGUUGCAUAUUCUGAGACUGCUCAGUUAGGCAUAGAAAACUCAAAUGCCCACAAGGGCUAGGCAAGUAAUGCAAGCCAGGGAAGCUGAGUGGUGCACUGGGAGUCAGGGGUGAGGCCAGAGAGAAGCGGAGAGCCCAAUUCCCAAGAAAGGCCCACCAUUUCUCAGCUCCAGUUGUCAGCUGGCAUGCCAGAAUGUAAGCCCAAAUCUGGCCAGAUCUUCCAAUUUAUCAAGAUAUCUAGAAAUUGUAUUUUAGUAUAAAGUCUCCUAAUUUUCAAAAGGC
rnacentral:sRNA from 1 species